UACGUAGGGUGCGAGCGUUAAUCGGAAUUACUGGGCGUAAAGCGUGCGCAGGCGGUUCGUUGUGUCGGCGGUGAAAGCCCCGGGCUCAACCUGGGAAUGGCCGUUGAAACUGGCGAACUGGAGUGUGGCAGAGGGGGGUGGAAUUCCGCGUGUAGCAGUGAAAUGCGCAGAUAUCGGGAAGAACACCCGUGGCGAAGGCGGCUCUCUGGGACGGUACUGACGCUGAGACGCGAAAGCGUGGGGAGCGAACAGG
rnacentral:rRNA from 1 species